rnacentral:misc_RNA from 1 species
GAAAUGCGAUAAGUAAUGUGAAUUGCAGAAUUCAGUGAAUCAUCGAAUCUUUGAACGCACCUUGCGCUCCUUGGUAUUCCGAGGAGCAUGCCUGUUUGAGUGUCAUGGUAUUCUCAACCCUGCUACAUUUUUUGUGUAGCUGGGCUUGGACUUGGAGGUUUAUUGCUGGUGUUCUCUUUUGAACGCGGGCUCCUCUGAAAUGCAUUAGCUGGAAUGUUACCGAGCAUGAUUCAACGUGAUAAUUGUCUACAUUGCUUCAACUUGGUAUUAAUUCUGUUUCAGCUUCAAACCGUCCCUUGCGGACAAUAUCUUGAACAUCUGACCUCAAAUCAGGUAGGACUACCCGCUGAACUUAA